AGGAUUAUAGUUAAUUUAUAACAUUUAAUUUGCAUUUAAAAAUUAUUGAUUAUAUCAAUUUAUCUU
rnacentral:tRNA from 1 species